rnacentral:rRNA from 1 species
AGGCCUAAUACAUGCAAGUCGAGCGCACCUUCGGGUGAGCGGCGGACGGGUGAGUAACGCGUGGGAACGUGCCCUUUGGUUCGGAACAACACAGGGAAACUUGUGCUAAUACCGAAUGUGCCCUUCGGGGGAAAGAUUUAUCGCCAUUGGAGCGGCCCGCGUUGGAUUAGCUAGUUGGUGGGGUAAAGGCCCACCAAGGCGACGAUCCAUAGCUGGUCUGAGAGGAUGAUCAGCCACACUGGGACUGAGACACGGCCCAGACUCCUACGGGAGGCAGCAGUAGGGAAUCUUGCGCAAUGGGCGAAAGCCUGACGCAGCCAUGCCGCGUGAAUGAUGAAGGUCUUAGGAUUGUAAAAUUCUUUCACCGGGGAAGAUAAUGACGGUACCCGGAGAAGAAGCCCCGGCUAACUUCGUGCCAGCAGCCGCGGUAAUACGAAGGGGGCUAGCGUUGCUCGGAAUUACUGGGCGUAAAGGGCGCGUAGGCGGACAGUUUAGUCAGAGGUGAAAGCCCAGGGCUCAACCUUGGAACUGCCUUUGAUACUGGCUGUCUUGAGUUCGGGAGAGGUGAGUGGAAUGCCGAGUGUAGAGGUGAAAUUCGUAGAUAUUCGGCGGAACACCAGUGGCGAAGGCGACUCACUGGCCCGAUACUGACGCUGAGGCGCGAAAGCGUGGGGAGCAAACAGGAUUAG